rnacentral:rRNA from 1 species
ACGUAGGGGGCGAGCGUUAUACGGAAUUAUUGGGCGUAAAGAGUGCGUAGGUGGUCUUGUAAGCGGGGGGUGAAAGGCAUCGGCUUAACCGAUGUUAGCCCCCCGAACUGUGAGACUUGAGUACAGGAGAGGAAAGCGGAAUUCCUAGUGUUGGGGUGAAUGGCGUAGAUAUGAGAAGGAAGACCAGUGGCGUAGGCGGCUUUCUGGACUUAAACUGACACUGAGCCUCGAAAGUGUGGUGAGCAUACAG